UACGGGGGGGGCAAGCGUUGUUCGGAAUUACUGGGCGUAAAGGGCUCGUAGGCGGCCAACUAAGUCGGACGUGAAAUCCCUCGGCUUAACCGGGGAACUGCGUCCGAUACUGGAUGGCUUGAGUUCGGGAGAGGGAUGCGGAAUUCCAGGUGUAGCGGUGAAAUGCGUAGAUAUCUGGAGGAACACCGGUGGCGAAGGCGGCAUCCUGGACCGACACUGACGCUGAGGAGCGAAAGCCGGGGGAGCAAACGGG
rnacentral:rRNA from 1 species